GUUUGAUCAUGGCUCAGAUUGAACGCUGGCGGCAGGCCUAACACAUGCAAGUCGAACGGUAGCACAGAGAGCUUGCUCUCGGGUGACGAGUGGCGGACGGGUGAGUAAUGUCUGGGAAACUGCCUGAUGGAGGGGGAUAACUACUGGAAACGGUAGCUAAUACCGCAUAACGUCGCAAGACCAAAGAGGGGGACCUUCGGGCCUCUUGCCAUCAGAUGUGCCCAGAUGGGAUUAGCUAGUAGGUGGGGUAAUGGCUCACCUAGGCGACGAUCCCUAGCUGGUCUGAGAGGAUGACCAGCCACACUGGAACUGAGACACGGUCCAGACUCCUACGGGAGGCAGCAGUGGGGAAUAUUGCACAAUGGGCGCAAGCCUGAUNCACCCAUGCCGCGUGUGUGAAGAAGGCCUUCGGGUUUAAAGCACAAUCCCGCGCCUUGG
rnacentral:rRNA from 1 species